CCGCUCCGCUCUGCUCCCUGGUGUGUUGAUUCUUCCCCCAGCUGCUGCCUAAUGGAGUCCAGGCGCUCGCGUCACAGGAAAUGCCUAUACUGCCCUCCUCACUCACUUCCGGUGGCAGGUAUGGAACCUAUAGGGGGCCUGUCACCCAGCACGUGCGCCGAGGCUGGCCCAGGGGUCAGGGGAGGGAGGCCGGCGGGCAGGCGGGGUCCGCCCCGACCCCGACCCCGACCCCGAUUCCUAUCUGAUCCGAUCCUAUCCCCGGCCCAGCUCGGGCCUCUCCCCUUGCGCCCUGGCUCGGCUGGCUCAGCGAGCAGUAAGUUGUAGCCGCCCUCCGAGGCCCGGCGUGCACGGGAUGGUAGAGCUGGCGUGGUGCGUGUGUCCACCAGUGUGGCCUGGGCAAGUAAGAUGGUGUAGCAGUAUAAGCACAGGCCAAGCAAGGCGGGCCUUGAGAUGAGGCCAGAUGGGGCCUGAAUCAGGGUGGGUUCAGCAUGUCCAGGAAGGUGCUGCUACUUCACAGACAGGACUCACAGCAUGUACCAUUAGAGACUGGAUCAUUAAAGCACUGGAUAGAACUCUUCAGGCUGUGGAGUGUGUAGGCCACUUCCUGAAGUUCUUAGUGAAUUGUUAUGAGAAAAAGACAAGCGUCUGUCAUCUGAAAGUUAAAAAAGAAGAAAAAUGUGUCUUGAGAAAAGAAGUCCUUUUUCUUUUGGUAGCUGAGUGCCAGACACCACCAUACUUUGCGAGGUUGGAAAAGGUGAGUUCUCUGUUACGUGAUGACGUUUGUUCCAGCAAAGACAGAGACACUGGAAACGGAACAGAAGAAGCGCUAAAAUUGGGAAGGAGCUGGAGCCCGAUUUUGACUUGUCCAAGACAGAAUUGCUCCUAUCUGGAUUAUACAAACAACUCCAGCAUAAAUCAGUAA
rnacentral:lncRNA from 1 species